GAGGGUAUAGCUCAGUGGUAGAGCAUUUGACUGCAGAUCAAGAGGUCUCUGGUUCAAAUCCAGUUUCCCCUUUCUCA